AUUGAACGCUGGCGGAAUGCUUUACACAUGCAAGUCGAACGGCAGCACGGGGGCAACCCUGGUGGCGAGUGGCGAACGGGUGAGUAAUACAUCGGAACGUGCCCAGUCGUGGGGGAUAACGUAGCGAAAGCUACGCUAAUACCGCAUACGAUCUAAGGAUGAAAGCGGGGGAUCGGAAGACCUCGCGCGAUUGGAGCGGCCGAUGGCAGAUUAGGUAGUUGGUGGGGUAAAGGCUCACCAAGCCGACGAUCUGUAGCUGGUCUGAGAGGGCGACCAGCCACACUGGGACUGAGACACGGCCCAGACUCCUACGGGAGGCAGCAGUGGGGAAUUUUGGACAAUGGGCGCAAGCCUGAUCCAGCCAUUCCGCGUGCAGGAUGAAGGCCCUCGGGUUGUAAACUGCUUUUGUACAGAACGAAACGGCUCUCUCUAAUACAGGGGGCUAAUGACGGUACCGUAAGAAUAAGCACCGGCUAACUACGUGCCAGCCGCCGCGGUAA
rnacentral:rRNA from 1 species